GAUGAAGAACGCAGCGAAAUGCGAUAAGUAAUGUGAAUUGCAGAAUUCAGUGAAUCAUCGAGUCUUUGAGCGCACAUUGCGCCCCCUGGUAUUCCGGGGGGCAUGCCUGUCCGAGCGUCAUUGCUGCCCUCAAGCACGGCUUGUGUGUUGGGCCCCCGUCCCCGGUUUCCCCCGGGGACGGGCCCGAAAGGCAGCGGCGGCACCGCGUCCGGUCCUCGAGCGUAUGGGGCUUUGUCACCCGCUCUGUAGGCCCGGCCGGCGCCAGCCGACACCCAACUUUAUUUCUAAGGUUGACCUCGGAUCAGGUAGGGAUACCCGCUGAACUUAAGCAUAUCAAUAAGCGGAGGA
rnacentral:misc_RNA from 1 species